rnacentral:rRNA from 1 species
GACGAACGCUGGCGGCGUGCUUAACACAUGCAAGUCGAACGGAAAGGCCCUGCUUGCAGGGUACUCGAGUGGCGAACGGGUGAGUAACACGUGGGUGAUCUGCCCUGCACUUCGGGAUAAGCCUGGGAAACUGGGUCUAAUACCGGAUAGGAGCCAUUUUUAGUGUGAUGGUUGGAAAGUUUUUUCGGUGUAGGAUGAGCUCGCGGCCUAUCAGCUUGUUGGUGGGGUAAUGGCCUACCAAGGCGGCGACGGGUAGCCGGCCUGAGAGGGUGGACGGCCACAGUGGGACUGAGAUACGGCCCAGACUCCUGCGGGAGGCAGCAGUGGGGAAUAUUGCACAAUGGGCGCAAGCCUGAUGCAGCGACGCCGCGUGGGGGAUGACGGCCUUCGGGUUGUAAACUCCUUUCGCUAGGGACGAAGCUUUUUGUGACGGUACCUAGAUAAGAAGCACCGGCUAACUACGUG